CUGAUUGAAACCCAAAGAGGAAUAGGAAUGUGUGGUGCUAGUGGUAAAGAACUCUCCUGCCAACGCAGGAGACACAGGAGAUGCAAAUUUGAUCCCUGAGUCAGGAAGAUUCCCUGGAGGAGGAACACUCCAGUAUUCUUGCCUGGAGAACCCCAUGGACAGAGGAGCCUGGAGGGCCACAGUCCCUGAGGUCGCAAAGAAUCGAACAUGACUGAAGAGCCUUAGCACACAUGCACGCAUUCCCAUUUUGCAGAACCUGUCUUAGUAAUCACCUGCAAAGCUACAAUUUUGGCAACAUGAGCUGGCAACCUAACCUAAAGUUGCUGUAUUUAUGGAAGUGUCUUUCCACAUGUCCAAACCUGCCACGUUCUCUUCCCACCUUCCUCCAUGCUUCAUCAACAAUGCCUGCUUCUUUCAACCCCUGGGUCUUCAUGUGCACCACUCAAAUACAGCAACCAGGAGCCAGUGCGGCCACUGAGCACGAAAAAUGAAGCCAGUCUGAAGAGAAAAUUCACUGCUGC